UUCGCCCGCCGGGCCCGCGUCGUCCCGCCGCCCCCGCCCCCUACGGGAGGCAGCAGGGGGGAAUUUUGGACAAUGGGCGCAAGCCUGAUCCAGCCAUUCCGCGUGAGUGAAGAAGGCCUUCGGGUUGUAAAGCUCUUUYGCAAGGGAAGAAAASUUAGUCUCUAACAUAGGCUGAGGUUGACGGUACCUUGAUAAGAAGCACCGGCUAACUACGCUGCCAGGCAGCCGCGGUUAAUACGGUAGGGAUGCGGAGCGGUUAAUCGGAAUUACGUGGGCGCUAAAGCGUGGCGCAGGCGGAUUUUUGUAAGCUCAGAAUGCUGAAAAUCCCCCGAGCCUCAACCUUGGGGAACUGCGGUUUUGAAAACUACGAAGACCUAGAAAUAUGUUCAGGAGGGGGGGUAGAAAUUCCCCCGUGUUUCCAGUGAAAAUGCCCUAGAGAAUGUGGGAGGGAAUUCCCAAUGGCCAAAAGGCAGCCCCCCUGGGAAUAAAUAUUGGACGCCUCAUGCACCGAAAACCGUGGGGAGCGAAAACAGGAAUUAGAAACCCCCGGGUAAGUCCCAAAAAA
rnacentral:rRNA from 1 species